rnacentral:rRNA from 1 species
CCUGACGCAGCGACGCCGCGUGGGGGAGGAAGCCCUUCGGGGUGUAAACCCCUGUCGUCCGGGACGANNGNGAGGGGCUGAAAGGCCUCUUGCUGACGGUACCGGAGGAGGAAGCCCCGGCUAACUACGUGCCAGCAGCCGCGGUAAGACGUAGGGGGCGAGCGUUGUCCGGAAUCACUGGGCGUAAAGGGCGCGUAGGCGGCCUGGCAAGUCGGAUGUGAAAGGUCCCGGCUCAACCGGGGAGGUGCAUUCGAAACUGCCGGGCUUGAGGGCAGGAGAGGGCAGCGGAAUUCCCGGUGGAGCGGUGAAAUGCGUAGAGAUCGGGAGGAACACCAGUGGCGAAGGCGGCUGCCUGGCCUGGCCCUGACGCUGAGGCGCGACAGCGUGGGGAGCGAACGGGAUUAGAUACCCCGGUAGUCCACGCCGUAAACGAUGGGUGCUAGGUGUGGGAGGUAUCGACCCCUUCCGUGCCGGAGCUAACGCACUAAGCACCCCGCCUGGGGAGUACGGCCGCAAGGCUGAAACUCANNNAGAAUUGACGG